rnacentral:misc_RNA from 1 species
GGACUACAGGGGUAUCUAAUCCUGUUUGCUCCCCACGCUUUCGAGCCUCAGCGUCAGUAAUGAGCCAGUAUGUCGCCUUCGCCACUGGUGUUCUUCCGAAUAUCUACGAAUUUCACCUCUACACUCGGAGUUCCACAUACCUCUCUCAUACUCAAGACACCCAGUAUCAAAGGCAAUUCCGAGGUUGAGCCCCGGGAUUUCACCCCUGACUUAAAUGUCCGCCUACGCUCCCUUUACGCCCAGUAAUUCCGAGCAACGCUAGCCCCCUUCGUAUUACCGCGGCUGCUGGCACG